CCCUUCUUAGGGUAAUUCGACGUUCUGAAUCCGUUUCCAACGUCUGUUUUCCCAAAUUCAAUUGUUAAAAUAGAGUUUUAUUAAUUGGACCCUUUAUGUGCUUAGGGGCAAUUAUUGGUGACGUUUUCUUGUUCGUUAGUUUGCGUGGCUCUUCGACGGCUAAGUACUGACUUAGAAUCGAGGCGUACAAUCCCGGCAUCCAGGCACUUCCGCUUCGGUAUCUUCGAGUCCUCUCGAUGUAGGACCCAUUUCUUUGUUCAUCUAAUUUCAUAUUAUUUUCUUUAGUGUUCUAGUUAGUUGUAUGCUCUGAACACGUUCCUUAAAUGCAUAUUCCUUAUUCUUUUACAUUUAUAAGUUUUAUCUA